UACGUAGGGCGCAAGCGUUGUCCGGAAUUAUUGGGCGUAAAGAGCUCGUAGGCGGUUUGUCGCGUCUGCCGUGAAAGCCCGGGGCUUAACUCCGGGUCUGCGGUGGAUACGGGCAGACUAGAGGCAGGUAGGGGAGAACGGAAUUCCCGGUGUAGCGGUGAAAUGCGCAGAUAUCGGGAGGAACACCGGUGGCGAAGGCGGAUCUCUGGGCCUUACCUGACGCUCAGGCGCGAAAGCUAGGGGAGCAAACGGG
rnacentral:rRNA from 1 species